AUCACAUUGAAACCCAUACAGUCACUGAAGUUAAGCAAUGUUGAACCUGGUUAGUACCUAGAUAGGUGAUCUCUUGGGAAUACCAGGUGCUGUAA